GGCUGGUCUGAGUGCAAUGGUGUUUACAACAAAUUGAUCACAGCCAGUUAUAGAUUUCUUUGUUCCUUCUCCGCUCCCUCUGUUUCCCUUGACUAGCCUUAC
rnacentral:Y_RNA from 1 species